CGGUCACGUUCGUUGCUUUCGGUGCACUUAACACUAUUUACAAGUAUAAACUGUAAAAGUAGUAUGUGUGCAUUAUUUCGAAACGCAAUUAAGCAGACAGAUCACUCCACGAACUAAGAACGGCCAUGCACCACCUAUCACAUAAUCAUGAGAGAACUAGCUAUUUUUAGAAACAAAGUUUUGAAAAUUUGUUACGUAAAUCUGUCAAUCCUCAGUGUGUCCGGACCCGGUAAGAUUUCCCGCGUUGGGUCAAAUUAAGCCACAUGCUCCAC
rnacentral:rRNA from 1 species